rnacentral:rRNA from 1 species
UUUGUCUUUUAAUUGGAGACUGGAAUGAAUGGUUGGACGAGAAGAAUGCUUUCUUAUCUUUAAUUUAUUUUGAAUUUAAUUUUUUUGUAAAAAAGCUUAAAUAUUAUUGUGGGACGAGAAGACCCUAUAGAAUUUUAAUUUUAUUGUAUAAAUAAUAUUUUAGUUAUUUUAUGUAUUAUUUAUACAAUAAAAUUUUUGUUGGGGUGAUAGUGGAAUUUAAUUAACUUCUAUUUUAAUUUAAUCGUGAAUUAAAGUUUUAAUGAUCCUUUAUUAUGGAUUAAAAGUUUAAAUUACCUUAGGGAUAACAGCGUAAUUAAUUUGGAGAGUUCUUAUUGAUGAAUUAGUUUGCGACCUCGAUGUUGGAUUAAAGUUAGUUUUAUAGUGCAGAAGCUUAAUAUCUAGGUCUGUUCGACCUUUAAAUCUUUACAUGAUCUGAGUUCA